GAGCCAGCAGCCACAGCCGUUCUGCACUUCUGACCACCUCAGCCGUUGCUUUUGUGAGCCUCGAGAGCGAAGCAACGAGAGGCUGGUCUGAAACCCCCUCUUGCACCUGAGCCCCAGACUG
rnacentral:precursor_RNA from 10 species